GACGUAGGGGGCCAGCGUUGUUCGGAAUUACUGGGUGUAAAGGGUUCGUAGGCGGUGUAGCAAGUCGGGAGUGAAAUCUCUGGGCUUAACCUGGGAACUGCGCUUGUUACUGGCAAGCUGGAGUGUGGCAGAGGGGGGUGGAAUUCCACGUGUAGCAGUGAAAUGCGUAGAGAUGUGGAGGAACACCGAUGGCGAAGGCAGCUCCCUGGGUCAAGAUUGACGCUCAUGCACGAAAGCGUGGGGAGCAAACAGG
rnacentral:rRNA from 1 species